UACGUAGGGACCAAGCGUUGUCCGGAUUUAUUGGGCGUAAAGAGCUCGUAGGCGGCCCUCCACGUCGGAUGUGAAAGCUCAGGGCUCAACCCUGAGAUGCCAUUCGAUACGGGAAGGCUAGAGGUAGGUAGGGGAAAGUGGAAUUCCUGGUGUAGCGGUGAAAUGCGCAGAUAUCAGGAGGAACACCGGUGGCGAAGGCGGCUUUCUGGGCCUUACCUGACGCUGAGGAGCGAAAGCUGGGGAGCGAACAGG
rnacentral:rRNA from 1 species